UGGCACAGCAGCUCUGCAGGGAGGAAGGCACUUUUCCCCGUGUGUUUGUCCCAGGCUGCCCUGCCAGGUGUCUGCAGCAGGGGGAAGGAGCCAGGGCUGUGGCCAGGAGCACCAUGGGUGGUGUUGAACCUCACAGGGAGAAGACGGUCACAUAUUUAACACAGGAGCUUUGUGCGUAUUUUGGGCCGCUGUGGAUGAGAGCCUCUGCUGUAAAGGAGAGGGGCUCCAAUGCUAUCAGCGUUAUCAGCUGAUGUGUAAGCGAUGCCUCGCAGGCAGCAGCCUGGAGCUGAGCAACUGUGCCAUCAUCCGGCCGGGAUCAGCAGCGGGUCCCCGGCUGCCACGGAACCUUCCUUCCCUCUGAGACAUAUCCUAUCGACUGACAGAAAUUAUUUUUUGGAAUCAAAGCCGGGGAAGAAAAAUAAAUCUGGAGGGAAAGGCUAUUAUUG